rnacentral:ncRNA from 1 species
AAAUAAGCUGUGAAAAGAAAGUCUUGAAAUUUUAGCAUUAUGAUAGCGAGCGCCAUCUGGUGAAAGGGCGUUAAUGCAAGUUUCAGGAAUAUCAUCUUUGAGCGAUGGCUACGAACAUUGAGCGGCCAUUGGGAGCUCCCAUUACAGAGCUAGAGUAUAAACCCCUUAGUGCGUACUCGAAAAGGCAGAAUUAGUGAUAAUUCUGUAAAUAAAGGUGGUAACACGUUUUUAACGUCCUUGUC